UUGCCAAAUCUACCACUUUCUCAAGUUUUUCCUACAAAAAUGCCAUAUUUUAAAAAACUUUUCCUCCAUACCACUUUGUAAAAUUGGAAAUGACCAUUUACUCCUUAUUUUCUCCACAAACACACACACAAAUAUCUUCUCUUCUUCUCUUUUUUUAUCGUUUCAUGCUCUCUCCCUCUUCCUUCUCUCUUUAUCCUCUUCCUUUCUCUCUUUCUCUUUUUCAUUUCUUUCUCUGUUUAGAUUUAAGAUUUGUUUGAAGUUAAUUAGAUCUAUUUCCAUCUCCACCAUCGUCUUCUUCUCUUCUAUAUCACCACUGUGGAUCAAAAAAUUCAGAUCUAUAAAUUUUGAUAUCCUCAAGAAUAGAUCUUUUAGUUUUCCUAUCUAAAUCAAGUUCAUUCUCCCAUCUAAAGAUUCACUGGUUUUAAUUUUGUUUUUAAUUGGUUAUUCAAUUUCGAUAUUAUGCAUAUUAAAUGUUUGUUGUCUACGAGAGAAAAAAGAAGACGAAGAUAUCUGUCUACUAGAAAACUGAAGACGAAGAAAAAGAUGUCUACGAGGAAACCGAAGAUACAGAGAAGAAGAUGUUUACGAGGAAACCAAAGAUGUUGUGGACAAUAUCAUUGAUUUGAAUCUGAAAUGUUGUCCACUUAAAUAAUAGACUAAUAGGAAUCUGAUUACAUUUUUUUGUCCAUGCUUUUAUUACUUUAAAAAUAUUGACCAUUUACCAGAUUAAAAAUUUCAAGCAAACGUUAUCGACGAUUAUUGGUCCAAGAUGUAUAUAUAUGGUUUUUUUUGUCCAUGCGAAGCAGAUACUACAGACUUAUUUGUAUUUAUUUCAUGAUAUAUGUAUAUACUUAUAAUUUUUAGUUUGGUGGACAAAUUUAGACAUGUAUAUUUGGUUGUUGUCCAUAUAUGUGUGUGAUAUCAUCUUUGACGAAUCUAUUUCGAUGAAUUGAUAAUGUUGGACAAAAAAUAUUAAAAUAAAGAAAAAGAAGAGAAUAAAAA